rnacentral:rRNA from 1 species
GAUGAACGCUGGCGGCGUGCCUAAUACAUGCAAGUCGAGCGAACGGACGAGAAGCUUGCUUCUCUGAUGUUAGCGGCGGACGGGUGAGUAACACGUGGAUAACCUACCUAUAAGACUGGGAUAACUUCGGGAAACCGGAGCUAAUUCCGGAUAAUAUUUUGAACCGCAUGGUUCAAAAGUGAAAGACGGUCUUGCUGUCACUUAUAGAUGGAUCCGCGCUGCAUUAGCUAGUUGGUAAGGUAACGGCUUACCAAGGCAACGAUGCAUAGCCGACCUGAGAGGGUGAUCGGCCACACUGGAACUGAGACACGGUCCAGACUCCUACGGGAGGCAGCAGUAGGGAAUCUUCCGCAAUGGGCGAAAGCCUGACGGAGCAACGCCGCGUGAGUGAUGAAGGUCUUCGGAUCGUAAAACUCUGUUAUUAGGGAAGAACAUAUGUGUAAGUAACUGCGCACAUCUUGACGGUACCUAAUCAGAAAGCCACGGCUAACUACGUG